GUAGGGUGCAAGCGUUAAUCGGAAUUACUGGGCGUAAAGCGUGCGCAGGCGGUUUUGUAAGUCUGUCGUGAAAGCCCCGGGCUCAACCUGGGAAUUGCGAUGGAGACUGCAAGGCUUGAAUCUGGCAGAGGGGGGUAGAAUUCCACGUGUAGCAGUGAAAUGCGUAGAGAUGUGGAGGAACACCGAUGGCGAAGGCAGCCCCCUGGGUCAAGAUUGACGCUCAUGCACGAAAGCGUGGGGGGAGCAAACAGGAUUAGAUACCCUGGUAGUCCACGCCCCUAAACGAUGUCUACUAGUUGUCGGGUUUUAAUUAACCUUGGUAACGCAGCUAACGCGUGAAGUAGACCGCCUGGGGAGUACGGUCGCAAGAUUA
rnacentral:rRNA from 1 species